rnacentral:rRNA from 1 species
AUUGAACGCUGGCGGAGUGCUUUACACAUGCAAGUCGAACGGUAGAGGGGGCAACCCCUCGAGAGUGGCGAAGGGGUGAGUAAUAUAUCGGAACGUGCCCAGUCGUGGGGGAUAACGUAGCGAAAGUUACGCUAAUACCGCAUACGAUCUAAGGAUGAAAGCGGGGGAUCGCAAGACCUCGCGCGAUUGGAGCGGCCGAUAUCAGAUUAGGUAGUUGGUGGGGUAAAGGCUCACCAAGCCAACGAUCUGUAGCUGGUCUGAGAGGACGACCAGCCACACUGGAACUGAGACACGGUCCAGACUCCUACGGGAGGCAGCAGUGGGGAAUUUUGGACAAUGGACGCAAGUCUGAUCCAGCCAUUCCGCGUGCAGGAUGAAGGCCCUCGGGUUGUAAACUGCUUUUGUACGGAACGAAAAGGUCUCUCUUAAUACGGGGGACUCAUGACGGUACCGUAAGAAUAAGCACCGGCUAACUACGUGCCAGCAGCCGCGGUAA